rnacentral:rRNA from 1 species
CUUUUGCUGGCGACCGGCGCACGGGUGAGUAACACGUAUCCAACCUGCCCUUUACUCGGGGAUAGCCUUUCGAAAGAAAGAUUAAUACCCGAUAGCAUAAUGAUUCCGCAUGGUUUCAUUAUUAAAGGAUUCCGGUAAAGGAUGGGGAUGCGUUCCAUUAGGUUGUUGGUGAGGUAACGGCUCACCAGGCCUUCGAUGGAUAGGGGUUCUGAGAGGAAGGUCCCCCACAUUGGAACUGAGACACGGUCCAA